UUGUUUGAUAGAGGAGCGGAACACAUAAGUAUAACGCCGAGCGGGAGCGAUGAAGCGUUUGAAAGGGCAACCGCCGAAGUUUAAAAAGCAGCCAUGUUUUUUAUGCUGGGCCGUCAGUGAAUAACUGCCGGACUGUCGCCACAAUGGCGGAGGGCUAUCUCAAUG
rnacentral:ncRNA from 2 species